CCUACGGGUGGCAGCAGUGGGGAAUAUUGCACAAUGGGGGAAACCCUGAUGCAGCGACGCCGCGUGAGUGAAGAAGUUAUUCGUUAUGUAAAGCUCUAUUAUCAGGGAAGAAAAUGACGGUACCUGACUAAGCAGCCCCGGCUAACUACGUGCCAGCAGCCGCGGUAAUACGUAGGGGGCAAGCGUUAGCCGGAUUUACUGGGUGUAAAGGGAGCGUAGACGGUAGUGCAAGUCUGGAGUGAAAGGCGGGGGCUCAACCCCCGGCCUGCUCUGGAAACUGUACGGCUGGAGUGCAGGAGAGGUAAGUGGAAUUCCUGGGGUAGCGGUGAAAUGCGUAGAUAUUAGGAGGAACACCAGUGGCGAAGGCGACUUACUGGACUGUAACUGACGUUGAGGCUCGAAAGCGUGGGGAGCAAACAGGAUUAGAUACCCUUGUAGUC
rnacentral:rRNA from 1 species